UACAAAUAAUAGAUAUUUAUUACCCAUUUUAUCUCAUUUUUAGUAUAAUAAAUGCAAUGUCAAUAGAAGUUAUCUCGGCUUUCCUUAAUAAAUUUUUUUUGUAAUAUAAAUACUCCACCGUUAUAAAUAAUUUUUAUUUCAAGUUUACUUACCUAUACUAAACGGAGCUUUCAAAAUGCAGAAACUAAUUAUUGCAGCUUUACUCAUGGUGCAAAUUGCAACCGUGUUUUCCCAAAACUGCAAUACAGUUACUUGUAGCAGUCCUUUAGUAUGCAGAGAUAACUUAAACCCUUGUACAAAUCGUUGCUCCUACCGUAAUGGAACAGAAUUGUGUACCCAAGAAAUUAUAAUUGACUGUUACUGCCCUGUUGGAUAUUGCGAUAAUGGUAAUGGAUGUGUGGAAUACUAAAGUGACUUUUUGAUUCAACCUUUUGGUUAUAUGUUUUCUUUGCAAAAUAAACAAUAAAAAUGAUGAUUGAUGCAAAA